AUGGGAGAUUUUAAUGAUAUACUUUAUGAUGCUGAUAAAUGUUCUCCCUUUGUGAAUUACUCUCGUUUGCAUGCCUUUCGUUGUAUUGUGAAAAAGUGUGGUCUGAUUGACUUAGGAUAUAGUGGCCCUGCUUAUACUUGAACAAACAAGAGGUAUGCUUCUAAUCCGACCAUGGAAAGACUUGAUAGAUGUCUGGUUAACACUGAAUGGUGUACGAUAUUUCCCAACUCCAAUGUUUACAAUCUGCCUAUCAUUCUUAGUGAUCAUGCUCCUAUUCUACUCUCUACUGAUGCCCAUAUGCGCAAACCUAGAAGAAAUUUU
rnacentral:rRNA from 1 species